rnacentral:lncRNA from 1 species
AUGACGAAUUCAGCCUCUAGGAGCAGCCAACGGAUUUUCGGAAAAUGGAUAUCUUGGCUAAGCUACUUCCUCUGCAGGCUGAUUAGCAACUUGAUACACAAGAAUGAUGAGGAUUUAACGGACUUGGAGGCCUUUAUUGACGACUACUAUCACCACCUUCAUCCAACCAUGGAUAAUACCGACGUACUCAAACCAGAUUCCAAGAGAAGAAAGAAAGACUCUGCAACGGACACAGAUGAUCUGCACACCACCGAAGUCGAGGUUAGUGUGCUGGCAAGCAUCAACAAAAAACUGGAUAUGCUGGUCACGAUACACAAAGAGUUAAACGACAUGCGAAGAAGCCUUGAAUUUGCUUACAAUCACAUCGAAACACUACAACAAUCAAAUCAGGAGCUCCAAACUUCAGUAACAACACUCACCCAGCAAAUGCAAAAUGUCACCGCCGAAAACAAACAGAUAAAAGAAACAAUUCUAGACAUCCAAACACGCUCAAUGCGCGAUAACCUCAUCUUCUCAGGCAUUCCAGAAACAUCACCCGAUAAUCCAGAGUUGCAGAUUCAAAACUUCAUGCAAUCCCAACUGAAAUUACCCGCUGACGUCGUUCAAAAUAUUACUAUCCACCGAGUUCAUCGUCUCUGCAAACAACAGCAGGACAAAACUAGGCCCAUCAUCGCAAAAUUUGAACACUAUCAACAAAAAGAACUGGUCAAAAGCAAAGGAAAACUACUCAAGACACUUUGGAAUGAAUGAACAAUACCCACGGGAAAUAAACGAACGAAGGAAAGUUCUCUACCCCAUAUUAAAGGAAAACCGAAGAAACAACAUACGUGCAGUAUUGGCAGUUGAUAAACUCUAUAUAAAUGGACAGUUAUUCCGAAGCCAUGAAAAAACACCAUGGCUUUUCUGAAUAAAUAUACAAUUAUGCUAUUUUUUUUCCUUUCUCUCACACCUCUGUAAGCUUACAGAAUUUGCUAGCCCAUCUUCUACAUUCUGUGCUUAUGCUCUCUCUCCUUAUUUGCUUAUUUGCUCUCUCCACUCUUUUUUGUUGUUUUUUUUCCUUAUUCAGUUGUGUCUUCUCUCUUUCACUCUCUCCCUCUCUCUGUCUUUCCCUCCUAUCAAUCUCUGAUAAGGCAUGUGCCUUUCUUUGCAUAUUGCUUGUUUAUGUCUUGUCUCUGUUUGUCCUUAUCUAUAUGUGUAAAGUCCCCUUACCCAGUGUCUGUUUGUUAGUUCUGUAUUCAUGUUCAACACCACUACUACCUCUCAGCUCAACCCCAAGCAAAAACGCUGGAAAACAUGUUAUGCGAGAUAUGACACACAUCCACCCAACACUGACGAGCAAAAACACACACGCCAUAUUCCCUCAACCGAACCCCUCCAUCCCUCUCUCCCCUCCCUCACUCUCUCUUUCUCUUUAUCACUUCAUACGUCUCUUAACCCACAUAUACGUACUAGCCCACAACUCU